UACAGGGGGGGCAAGCGUUGUUCGGAAUUACUGGGCGUAAAGGGCUCGUAGGCGGCCAACUAAGUCAGACGUGAAAUCCCUCGGCUUAACCGGGGAACUGCGUCUGAUACUGGAUGGCUUGAGUUCGGGAGAGGGAUGCGGAAUUCCAGGUGUAGCGGUGAAAUGCGUAGAUAUCUGGAGGAACACCGGUGGCGAAGGCGGCAUCCUGGACCGAUACUGACGCUGAGGAGCGAAAGCCAGGGGAGCAAACGGG
rnacentral:rRNA from 1 species